rnacentral:rRNA from 1 species
GGGGGCACCUGAUCCUUCAUGCCGCGUGUGUGAAGAAGGCCUUCGGGUUGUAAAGCACUUUUGUCAGGAACGAAACGGUGGGGGCUAAUAUCCUCUGCUAAUGACGGUACCUGAAGAAUAAGCACCGGCUAACUACGUGCCAGCAGCCGCGGUAAUACGUAGGGUGCGAGCGUUAAUCGGAAUUAUUGGGCGUAAAGCGUGCGCAGGCGGUUGUGCAAGACAGAUGUGAAAUCCCCGGGCUUAACCUGGGAAUUGCAUUUGUGACUGCACGGCUAGAGUGUGUCAGAGGGGGGUAGAAUUCCACGUGUAGCAGUGAAAUGCGUAGAUAUGUGGAGGAAUACCGAUGGCGAAGGCAGCCCCCUGGGAUAACACUGACGCUCAUGCACGAAAGCGUGGGGAGCAAACAGGAUUAGAUACCCUGGUAGUCCACGCCCUAAACGAUGUCUACUAGUUGUCGGGUCUUAAUUGACUUGGUAACGCAGCUAACGCGUGAAGUAGACCGCCUGGGGAGUACGGUCGCAAGAUUAAAACUCAAAGGAAUUGACGGGGACCCGCACAAGCGGUGGAUGAUGUGGAUUAAUUCGAUGCAACGCGAAAAACCUUAACUACCCUUGACAUGUACGGAAACCUGCUGAGAGGUGGGGGGU